rnacentral:misc_RNA from 1 species
UACGUAGGGGGCAAGCGUUGUCCGGAAUUAUUGGGCGUAAAGGGCGCGUAGGCGGUGCGAUAAGCGUGCGGUGAAAGCUCGGAGCUCAACUCCGAGUCGGCCGUGCGAACUGUUGCACUCGAGCACUGUAGAGGCAGACGGAAUUCCGGGUGUAGCGGUGGGAUGCGUAGAGAUCCGGAAGAACACCGGUGGCGAAGGCGGUCUGCUGGGCAGUGGCUGACGCUGAGGCGCGACAGCGUGGGGAGCAAACAGG